rfam:Triticum urartu cultivar G1812 contig492975, whole genome shotgun sequence.
CCCGCUGAGUUUAAGCAUAUAAAUAAGCGGAGGAGAAGAAACUUACAAGGAUUCCCCUAGUAACAGCGAGCGAACCGGGA